rnacentral:rRNA from 1 species
AGCGUAACUGACGCUGAAGCUCGAAAGCGUGGGUAUCGAACAGGAUUAGAUACCCUGGUAGUCCACGCGGUAAACGAUGGAUGCUCGCUGUUUGCCUUUAGAGGUAAGUGGCCAAGCGAAAGCGUUAAGCAUCCCACCUGGGGAGUACGCCGGCAACGGUGAAACUCAAAGGAAUUGACGGGGGCCCGCACAAGCGGAGGAACAUGUGGUUUAAUUCGAUGAUACGCGAGGAACCUUACCCGGGCUUGAACUGCCAGCGGACGAUUCAGAGAUGAUGAGGCCCUUCGGGGCGCUGGUGGAGGUGCUGCAUGGUUGUCGUCAGCUCGUGCCGUGAGGUGUCGGCUUAAGUGCCAUAACGAGCGCAACCCCUGUCUUCAGUUGCCAUCAGGUAAAGCUGGGCACUCUGUAGAUACUGCCACCGCAAGGUGUGAGGAAGGUGGGGAUGACGUCAAAUCAGCACGGCCCUUACGUCCGGGGCUACACACGUGUUACAAUGGCGCAUACAGAGAGUUGGCUGCGGGUAAUCGCAGUCUAAUCAUUAAAAUGCGUCGUAGUUCGGAUUGGGGUCUGCAACCCGACCCCAUGAAGCUGGAUUCGCUA